UGAACUACACUGCCUGUGAGAAUACAGGAACUUGAAUUUGGCUUCUUGGUGUCUUUUCUCAGGGAAGAGGGGAGGCUGUCACCUGAAGAUGUUGACUCUCCUGCUACUUCUCCUGGGACUAGGCUCUGGAUUCGGUGUUCUCCUCUCUCAAAACCCAAGCAGAGACAUCUGCCAACGCGGGACCUCUGUGACGAUCCAGUGUCAGGUCGAUAGCGAGUUCACCUACAUGUACUGGUACCGUCAGCUUCUAGGACAAAGCUUGACACUGAUGGCAGCUGUGAGUCGGGACUCCGAGGCCACUUAUGAGAGUGGAUUUACCAAGCAAAAGUUUCCCAUUAGCCGCCCAAACCUGAUGUUCUCAAUUCUGACCGUGAGCAACGUGAGCUCUGAAGACAGCAGCUCCUACUUCUGCAGCGCUGGAGACACAGGUGGCUGUAUUCUGAUGUGCUAUGACUAUAACUUCGGCCCAGGGACCAAGCUGACGGUUGUAGAGGACCUGCAGCAGGUGAGACCACCCAAGGUGGCCGUGUUUGAACCAUCGGAGGCGGAGAUCUCCCGGACCCAGAAGGCCACCCUCGUGUGCCUGGCCACAGGCUUCUACCCCGACCACGUGGAGCUGAGCUGGUGGGUGAACGGGAAGCAGGUCCAGAGCGGGGUCAGCACGGACCUUCAGCCCCACAGGGAGGACUCCAGCCGCAAUGACUCCAGCUACUGUCUGAGCAGCCGGCUGAGGGUCACCGCCGCCUUCUGGCGCAACCCCCGCAACCACUUCCGCUGCCAAGUCCAGUUCUACGGGCUCACGGAGGAGGACGAGUGGGAGUACAACUGGACCAAGCCCAUCACCCAGAACAUCAGUGCGGAGGCCUGGGGCAAAGCCGACUGUGGCUUCAGCUCGGCGUCCUAUCAGCAAGGGGUCCUGUCUGCCACCCUCCUCUAUGAGAUCCUGCUGGGGAAGGCCACCCUGUACGCUGUGCUGGUCAGCGCCCUGGUGCUGAUGGCCACGGUCAAGAGAAAGGGUGCCUGAAGCCGGCUCUGACGUGGAGCCAGGAGCUUCCAGCCUGGUGUGGGCCUGGUGUGACUCUCCUCUCUCCAUUCCUCCCAGUGCUUCUGAGGAGCUGCUCUCAUCUCUCUCCUCAUCCUCGGCUCUCCCCCAUGGGCAGGCACCCCUGCCCACUCCUGACUGCCAUCUCCCUAGCCCAGGGGGGACCCCAGCCUGCCUGAGCUGACCCAACCAAUAAAAACAGCCUCUUCUGCCCGAA